CAGAUGACGACCGGCGCACGGGUGCGUAACGCGUAUAGAACCUACCUUUUACAGAGGAAUAGCCUUUAGAAAUGAAGAUUAAUGCCUCAUAGUAUUGUAGACUGGCAUCAGUUUAUAAUUAAAGAUUUAUCGGUAAAAGAUGGCUAUGCGUCCUAUUAGUUAGUUGGUAAGGUAACGGCUUACCAAGACAGCGAUAGGUAGGGGUCCUGAGAGGGAGAUCCCCCACACUGGUACUGAGACACGGACCAGACUCCUACGGGAGGCAGCAGUGAGGAAUAUUGGACAAUGGAGGAGACUCUGAUCCAGCCAUGCCGCGUGUAGGAAGAAUGCCCUAUGGGUUGUAAACUACUUUUAUACAGGAAGAAACACUGGUAUGUAUACCAGCUUGACGGUACUGUAAGAAUAAGGACCGGCUAACUCCGUGCCAGCAGCCGCGGUAAUACGGAGGGUCCGAGCGUUAUCCGGAAUCAUUGGGUUUAAAGGGUCCGCAGGCGGUCGAUUAAGUCAGAGGUGAAAUCCCAUAGCUCAACUAUGGAACUGCCUUUGAUACUGGUUGACUUGAGUCAUAUGGAAGUAGAUAGAAUGUGUAGUGUAGCGGUGAAAUGCAUAGAUAUUACACAGAAUACCGAUUGCGAAGGCAGUCUACUACGUAUGUACUGACGCUGAGGGACGGAAGCGUGGGGAGCGAACAGGAUUAGAUACCCUGGUAGUCCACGCCGUAAACGAUGGAUACUAGUUGUUGGGAUUUAUCUCAGUGACUAAGCGAAAGUGAUAAGUAUCCCACCUGGGGAGUACGGUCGCAAGACUGAAACUCAAAGGAAUUGACGGGGGCCCGCACAAGCGGUGGAGCAUGUGGUUUAAUUCGAUGAUACGCGAGGAACCUUACCAGGCUUAAAUG
rnacentral:rRNA from 1 species